rnacentral:rRNA from 1 species
ACUGGAAUGAAUGGCUAAAUGAGGACUAAACUGUCUCUUGCAGGUAACCAAUGAAAUUGAUAUCCCAGUACAAAAGCUGGGAUAAAUCCAUAAGACGAGAAGACCCUGUGGAGCUUUAAAACCAAGCCCACCAAAUAUGGCCCUUGGAUUUUCAGUUGGGGCGACUCUGGAGUAAAACAAAACCUCCAAGAAAAACUUUAUUAAGAUCAACACACCAAAAUAUCAACACAACCCAGCAAUACCCACCCAAUUUGCCUGAUUAACGAACCAAGUUACCCCAGGGAUAACAGCGCCAUCCCCUUUUAGAGUCCCUAUCGACAAGGGGGUUUACGACCUCGAUGUUGGAUCAGGACACCCCAAUGGUGCAGCCGCCAUUAAAG